rnacentral:tRNA from 1 species
GCCUGAGUGGCUCAGUCGGUUAAGCAUCUGACUUCGGCUCAGGUCAUGAUCUCGCAGUUUGUGGGUUCGAGCCCCACGUCGGGCU